rnacentral:tRNA from 1 species
GCCCCCGUGGCGCAAUCGGUAGCGCGCACGACUCUUAGAAUCGUGCGGUUGCGGGUUCGAGCCCCGCCGGAGGCU